AGUGAACGCUGGCGGUAGGCCUAACACAUGCAAGUCGAACGGCAGCACAGUAAGAGCUUGCUCUUACGGGUGGCGAGUGGCGGACGGGUGAGGAAUACAUCGGAAUCUACUUUUUCGGGGGGGAUAACGUAGGGAAACUUACGCUAAUACCGCAUACGACCUACGGGUGAAAGCAGGGGAUCUUCGGACCUUGCGCGAUUGAAUGAGCCGAUGUCGGAUUAGCUAGUUGGCGGGGUAAUGGCCCACCAAGGCGACGAUCCGUAGCUGGUCUGAGAGGAUGGUCAGCCACCCUGGAACUGAGACACGGUCCAGACUCCUACGGGAGGCAGCAGUGGGGAAUAGUGGGCAAUGGGCGCAAGCCUGAUCCAGCCGUCCCGCGUGGGUGAAGAAGGCCUUCGGGUUGUAAAGCCCUUUUGUUGGGAAAGAACAGCAGCCGGUUGAUACCCCGCUGUUCUGACGGUACCCAGAGAAUAAGCACCGGCUAACUUCGUG
rnacentral:rRNA from 1 species